rnacentral:rRNA from 1 species
UCUUCUUCGGAAGAGAGCGGCGGACGGGUGAGUAACGUGUGGGUAACCUGCCCUGUACACACGGAUAACAUACCGAAAGGUAUGCUAAUACGGGAUAACAUAAGAAAUUCGCAUGUUUUUCUUAUCAAAGCUCCGGCGGUACAGGAUGGACCCGCGUCUGAUUAGCUAGUUGGUGAGGUAACGGCUCACCAAGGCGACGAUCAGUAGCCGACCUGAGAGGGUGAUCGGCCACAUUGGAACUGAGACACGGUCCAAACUCCUACGGGAGGCAGCAGUGGGGAAUAUUGCACAAUGGGCGAAAGCCUGAUGCAGCAACGCCGCGUGAGCGAUGAAGGCCUUCGGGUCGUAAAGCUCUGUCCUCAAGGAAGAUAAUGACGGUACUUGAGGAGGAAGCCCCGGCUAACUACGUGCCAGCAGCCGCGGUAAUACGUAGGGGGCUAGCGUUAUCCGGAUUUACUGGGCGUAAAGGGUGCGUAGGCGGUCUUUUAAGUCAGGAGUGAAAGGCUACGGCUCAACCGUAGUAAGCUCUUGAAACUGGAGGACUUGAGUGCAGGAGAGGAGAGUGGAAUUCCUAGUGUAGCGGUGAAAUGCGUAGAUAUUAGGAGGAACACCAGUAGCGAAGGCGGCUCUCUGGACUGUAACUGACGCUGAGGCACGAAAGCGUGGGGAGCAAACAGGAUUAGAUACCCUGGUAGUCCACGCCGUAAGCGAUGAGUACUAGGUGUCGGGGGUUACCCCCCUCGGUGCCGCAGCUAACGCA